CUUACUGAGUGUGUCCACGCCACGCCAGACACUGCUCGAAGCCGUGAAGACAGCAGUGAACAGGGACGUAGCCACGCCGCCAGGUGCACGUGAGCCAGAUGCCGCGGCGACUGUUAACACCCACAACUUUAACAGGAGAGAUGCCAGGGGCUGCGGAAGUAUGUAAAUUGUCCAGCAGAGGCUCUAGCACCCAGUGGUCAUUCAGUAAAUAUUCUCCAUCAUUCCUCCUGCUGCCCUCAUUGUGACGAUCUGAGUCGAGGACAAGCCUGACUCCUCCGAGCUGCAUGACCACUGCUGCAUUUCUGAAGGACACAUCUUCACCUGCUGUCACGCUACAACAGAGCCCCCGCCUUCACUUCUCCACAACAUCGCCUCCUGACGCAGCCUGGAGAUGCUCCCACCUCAUUCACAGCGAGAUCCAUCAUCCCUAGGCUGGGGAUGCCAUGACCAAGCCUCCAUGAGAACAGACACACCCACCAUCUUGCCAGCAAACCCAGCACUGCCUCCCAUCAAGCACGUAAAACACACCAUUGGGAUUUACUCUGUCACUCCUCCUUCCUCGCAUCUGACAUCACCUCUCUAUGCACACUUCAUUGGGGCACGAUCAGUCACAGGAGCUCUGUGUGCCGUGGAGCCGGCUCCGGCUUUGGAACCACAUGGUGGUAAUCUAUCUGCCCCUUCUCCAUGGCUCUGGCUGCACUGGCCCAUUAUCAGCCGGAGGCAGGACUUCUAGGCCAGUGUUUGUUUGACUCACCACUCUCUCCCCUUCUGAGCUGCAUCAGAACAAAAUAUCCUAGACAGAGCCCGGCCGCCUCCCCGUGGCGUGCUGCCAGUCAUGAAGACGUCAUUGGAAAGUCUCGUCUUUUUUUUUUUUUUUUUUAAAUGCCGCUCCUUGUCGCCACAGAUUGAUCUGCCAGUUAAAUAUUUAGACAUGCUCAUAUGCCUUUGUCAUAAAACACCACUUGACUUUGAGCGAUGAGCAAGGAGGUACUGAGGCUGUAGCUAUUCCCUCCCUGGGACACGGGGAGAGAGGGAAGCAGCAACAAGACAACGCCCCACCGCAGGGGUCUGCGUACCUCCAUCAAAACCCACCCACCCCACCGCCAGCAAGUCCAGCACACCCAGCCUCCGGAGCAUGAGAAGGGUCAAGACAGGGGAGCCGGGUCUUCUCUUUGGAUCGCCAAGUGCACGAGUUGGCUCAGUCAGCCCCAGGCCUCUCAGCCCAGUCCUGCCCUAACCUUCCCAACCACCGAAUGGGCUACAGGUCAGCCUUCACAGUAUCCCUAUGACAGUGAAAAGUACCAGCCACAUGGCACAACACACAUGUUCUCAUUUAAUCAUCACAACAACCCCCUCGGGAGAUAGGAACAAUUGUCCCGAUUUACAAACACGGAAGCAGAGACGCACAGAGUUUAAGUGAACGGUAAACCCAAUGACACUCGAGAAGGCAAAAGGGAUCUGGGACUACAGCCCAACUCCCAAGGACGUGUUCCCUUCACCAGAUGUCCACAGAAGGUCACCACCAACAUGGACCCUCUAAACUCAUGUUUGAUCACCUCCGCCAAAAAGCCCCUUUAUUCCCCUGCAACUUCUCAGAGGCUCCAGAUCUUUCCUGGGAAAUCUGGCUUGUUUCCUGAUCACAGGGAGAGGUCAAAGGCCAGAGACUGAACCACUCAGCUCCCGGCGUGAACAUUUCAACUAUAAGGUACUUUCCAGAGCAGUGGCCAUCAAAGUCCAGGACCCUCCUCCACGUGGACUAUAAUAAAGUGAAUUUCAGUAGAUGGCGGGUCAUUAUAACUCUUCAAGGGCAGCGUGGAAGGGCCCUGGGCAAACUGAAGGCAAGGCUGUCCCACAGCGGGCAGAGAGCACAGCGUGGUAUGGAAGCUAUUGAACGCGCCCCAGCCCACGGCACCUCAAGCCCAGUGUUUGCUCUACUAGCAAAAACUAGUUUGCAGAGAAACCCUUCCUUUCACUUCCUUGUUUCAGAAACAAGCAGGUGUUCUUUCAUCUAAGCAGUUGGCAGAGGAGGGGAGGGAAGAGGAAACAAGCCUGGAAGCAUCUGAGAAGAAGGCUAAGGCCAUAUCACCUGGGACCAAAGACUCCAAGAAGAAAAGCAACCCCUGCUGAGUCUCUGCGGUGAAAGGCCAGCGGGGAGCGACUGGCUACUGAAGCCCACUGUUACACUCCCCGGAUGGGAACAUUGAGGCUUCGAGAACAUUCUUAGUGCCUUACAGAGAGUCACACCCUGGUCAGUAGCAAGAACUCAGGUUUUUUAACUCCCACUCCGGCUUUCUGUCUCUCCUCUCCCCCGCAACCAAACCAUGCAUCUGUGAACUCUGUUUCUUUCUAUGUGUUGUCUUCAACUUCCUUCCUACUGUAUAUGGUCGUCUCCCACAAAGUGGUUAGGGGAUCCAACUUACACAACUGCCAUUAUGACAUGCAAGAAGGAGGAAGGAACCCCCCCGACCCCCCGCAAAGUCCGUAGAUUGGCCUUGCUUAAGCCACAUCCAUACUCCUUGCCCUGUCAAUGCAUCUACGGUGGGAGAGGGAUACAGCCUCCACCAGAAUGACAAGAAAUGGAAGAGAUGCAGUUUCCCCAAAGAAACGGCAGCACCACUACCAGAAAAAAAUAGAGACAACUACGAUAGAUGUCCACAUACAAAGACAACCUAGCCAUUCUUGCUUCCUGAGUUGGGGGGAAAAAAAACCCACAUUCAGAAAAUUCUACACAAUGUUUUAUACUAUAGUUUCAAGGAACAGGGAGUAGAAAGCCAAACUUGGGCCUCCUCUCCUAAUUCAAAUUUUCAAAACCAGAUUUUCCCAAAGAAGGGCUGCCUGCCUUUGGGGCAAUCAGUAGCUUGCCAAACCUCUAAUAAGGUGAUAUGCUUUCCCAUUUGACUACUGUUCCCUGCAAAUACCCUUCCUCCAUCAAGAACCUUGAAGGAGAGGCAUGGUGAAGAAUAAGACUCCAUCCAAAUAGCCCAUUCCAAUCCUUCUACUCUCCAUGCCUCACCACCUACGACCAGUCAGCUCACUCUCUCCCAAACCUGAACUUGUAAAAGGCAAACGGAAGACACAAACGAAGGUGGCAGGGGAGAAGAGAAUCAAGUGUUAUGUGCAGUCAACAGAGGUUGGCACCUGCUCUCAUUCAAAAACAGCUCACCAGAGCAUUUGAGCUCUUCCCUGCUCUGGGCUGGGAGAGUCUCACAGACCAUGGCUGCUCAUGAGACAAGAAGGGACAACAGUGUUAGGCAACUCAGGAAUGCGUGUUCAUUCCAUCACUUACCAGCUGAAGGACACUGAGCAGUCAGUGACAUCUGUGAUCCUCGGUUCCCUCACCUGUAAAAUGGAAAUAGUGAUUAUUAUCCAUUUCACAGAUGGGUAAUAGAGUUGUUAUGGGGAGUAAGCAAGAUAAUAUCCUCGAAUGGCGCCUGGGACAUAGUAAUGCCCCAAAAUAAUUAGAUGUGUUAUUGUCAUCAGUGGCCACGUAGGUGUUGUGUCCAUAAACUGUAGAAAAAGUGUAUCUUAAUCAUCUAUGCACCAUUUUUCAAGAGUGCUGUUUUAAUGAAUUAACUUCAAAUUCAUUGAAAAUUAUUUCUGAACACAGUAUACUUUAUAUCAUUUAUGUAUCUUCUCAGUGGUCAUUCAAAAUACAGCUAUUCCCAUGUUG